rnacentral:misc_RNA from 1 species
GGGGAUAUUGGGUUUCAUCAA